rnacentral:tRNA from 1 species
GUUCUUGUAGUUGAAUACAACGAUGGUUUUUCAAGUCAUAGGUCUCGGUUAAAGUCCGGGCAGGAAUU